GUCUGCCAACCUGAAAAGCUGGAUGUUGACUCAGUGCAGAAUAUUGGAGAUGAGAACAGCAUCCCAGCGUGAAGCCGGGUUGCAGAGUGGCAGAAGCUUAGUGUUACAGAUGUCUUGAGUCACCCAUGAGGCCUG